rnacentral:tRNA from 1 species
AUUAAAUUGGCAGAUGAAUGCAUUAAAUUUAGAAUUUAAUUAUGUAUAAUAUUACAUUUAAUA